GCUCCCCCCCCCUCCUUGUCCUCGCCCUCGCGAUUGCCUGCACUGAGCUAGCCCCUGCCUCGUCAUGUUUUCCGCUUUCCUCGCCGUUUCAGGUGUCAUGCAGCCUCCUGACUCGCCACAUAGACAUCAGGUAUCAGUAAUGAAGUUUGUGGUGGAACCUGUGAGCAAGGAUUGAGGAUGGCUAUGAAGGCUGGUUGGUCUCCGUAGCCAGCCUGAUAGUAUCCACACCACUCUAAUCACCAUUAUUUCCACUAAGGGAGGUGGCACACCACAUCUCACGCAGGAUGUGCUGCACCGGUGGUGUGGCGUUGAGGGAAGCGCCUCUCUGUAUCUCUGCCCACCACUUUAUUGAACACACAUGAAGGUGCUCCAGAGUUUCAAGAAGGGAGUGGCACACACACUUUGCUGCACUCCAAGCUUUGGAGGUCCAGCGGCACACCACACACUGCUUUCAUAUACGUGUGGGGAGAGUGAAAGACUAAGAGUGGCAAGGAUGGAGGAUGCUGCAACAUUCACACCAUCAUUGGUUCAUGCUUUAUUUUUUUUUUGUGUGUAAAGUAGUGCACACAGUUUUAACUGAAGGAUUAUAUGUCAUCAUUCAUAUUUGUAGAUUUCAUGACCUAGCAUUGUGUUGACUGUGCAUCAGAUCACUUCAUUACAUGUAAGUGUAUAUUUAGGUACAAGGAGUAACGGUUUAUGAAAUUUGUGAAAAGUGACUUACAAGAGAUCUUGCAUUAUGAAGAUUUGUUUCAAGGUCUUUGUUAAUUAGCUUUCUUUUUUUCUUUUUUUCUUUAUUUUUUAAAUUUUAUUUAUUUAUUUUUUAUGGUAAGGCCUGUAGCGCCUGUAAGCACACUUGAAGAGUGUAUGGGAAGCGCUGUUCAACUUCCACCCAUUAGUGGGGCAGGCAAUUUUAUUUAUAGUGGUACCCAUAUUAGGGCCCAUAUCACCGCCCAAGCUCAUCUUGACUGUAA